ensembl:ncRNA Y69A2AR.49 ncRNA
CGAUUGUGGAAUCUUCGAAACGGGCGAUUCUUAAUGACAAUGUUGACCAUUAACAAAGGGAACGGAAAAAACGGAGGAUACAAAGGAGUCGCAGGGAGGAAAUAGUAAAAAUAAGAAGAGAGACUGAUGGGAUUGAUUUGAAAAUAUUCGUGAGAUUUGAAUAAAACUAACUGGUAUCUUACAAUUAUUACAUUCGAUCAAUAAACGAUUU